GACGAACGCUGGCGGCGUGCCUAACACAUGCAAGUCAACUUGACGGAAGGAGCAAUCUGACCGUGGAGUGGCGCAAGGGUGCGUAACGCGUAAGUAACUUGCCCCAAGGUAAGGAAUAACGUCGAGAAAUCGGCGCUAAUACCUCAUAAUGCAGCGGAUCCGCAUGGAUAUGUUGUUAAAGGUUUACCGCCUUGGGAUAGGCUUGCGUCUGAUUAGCUAGUUGGUGUGGUAACGGCACACCAAGGCUACGAUCAGUAACUGGUCUGAGAGGAUGAUCAGUCACACUGGAACUGAGACACGGUCCAGACUCCUACGGGAGGCAGCAGUGAGGAAUAUUGGGCAAUGCUCGAAAGAGUGACCCAGCAACGCCGCGUGGAGGAUGAAGGUAUUCUAUAUCGUAAACUCCUGUGAGAGCAGACGAAAGACAGAUUAUUAAUCUGGAUGACUGUAUGCUCAGAGGAAGCCCCGGCUAACUACGUGCCAG
rnacentral:rRNA from 1 species